AAAAUUAGGUAGGAAAUUCUGAAAUCUAGAAAUUCUAGGAUUGGGAAAUUCCAGAAAAGAAACUUAGGUUCAAGAAAAUGAAAGGAAAGAAAACUUUGGAAGAAAUAUAAGGUCUUUAGUGGAAAUUCUUUCUUGUUUUGAGAGUCCAUUGACUAAAUUCGAGUUUCAAGUUGGUGGUGAAGGAGUGUUCUGGUGGUCAUGAUCUCUAUAGCCAGUUCGUUGCUCCAUUUUGCUGCCCUUAAAGAGGUAAAUACACUCUGUUUACCUCCUAAUUUGAUCUCUUUUCUCCUUCUCCUCUUUUCUGUGUAGCUGAUGUUGUAAUCAUGAAUUUAUUUUAUUAGGAAUAGUUUGAUGUAGUCAUAGUUGUAAUGGGGUUUUGCUUAGAGCAGCCUCCAUGGCCUGAUCAAAAAUUUUAAUUGUUCUGGGUUGUUUGCUGGUAGAUGACUUUAACAACUGUAGGAAUUAGUUGAAGAUAAUUGUGUUUGCAUUGUUUUUGCUAGAGCGAGGCCCAUCCUACCAUGUCGUUCUGUUAUCUAUUCUGUCUUUCUGACUUUGCUAUUUUGAAUCCUCAUUCUUGCAUUACUGUUGUUGGUUCGUUGCUAGUCUCGUUUUCAGUAUGUUUUGCCUUUUGUAUAAUUGAUUUGUGUGCGCAAUAUUUGUCAUUGUGAGUUUGUUACCAUUGUUCCUAUAACCAAAUCUGUUUAAUCACACUAUUGUAGUUUUUUUUUAUGGCGUAUCAUUUUUUUGACUCAACCGUAAGUUCAAUAUGUUAGUCUCUCAAUGCAUGUUUCGUGUCUACCUUUUAAAAUUACUUGAAUGUUAGUUUGCAUUCUAGUCAUCACCAUAUCAUUUUUAGAUCUAAGUAUGUUAAUCUGAUUUGUUGAACCUUAGUCUUUUAGUUUGUGUUCAGGACCUUAGUGUUAUGUUGUGGGUAAUUUGUACUCUCUCGAGUUUGUCUUUUGAAUUUUUACAGUUGACAAAAAACAUCCUUUAAAGCUCCUAUUGAAAAAAAAUGUCAAUAAAGGGCAAGAGGAUAUGUUAUAUUGAUUUUAAAUCAUCCCACGACCCUUCAAGGACUCAUAUCAGCCCUCAAAGUUUUGUACAAACUUAUCGAGAGAAAAGGUGUCAUGUUGUAUCAGGAAAGUUUGUUUUUAGUGUAUCUUUGUAGGUGGGUGAAAUCUAUGUUAAAAAUUUUAAAGUAAAUGUUUGGAUUGUUUCAUUUACUCCCAUUUGAUUCUAAUCACGCACCACCAUGUUGUGAUUGUGAAUAUGUGACCCACAUAUUAUUACUUUUCAUGACUUUGAUGGAAUUUGAUCCUUGUUUCAAGAUCUGUCCAGCUAGAGUUAAUAUUUGGCGUAGUGGCAUACUAGAAGUGAUAAAGGGAAAUCUGGUGUGUGAAUUUGUUGGUACUUAAAAGGGAGGGUCUUUUUCUUUUAUGGGUCGCAACCAUGAGUAGAUAAAAAGGGACUGGAGUCUGGAUUUGAUCAUGAAUAGAAUUUGUUUUCCUUUUUCCUUAACUUGUGGUUGUUACCGCUAUUCUUUCCCUCUGAUGAUAUCAUGUUAAAGUGUAUAAGAACUAUAUCUCUAUAAUUUUAAUUUUCACGAUACUUUAAAAGUUUAAAUUUUGAACUCUGGAAUGGCUUAUAGGCAUCUUAUUGGGUUAUUUUCGAAUGUCCUAUGGCUCUAGUCAUUCACACUUGCCUGUUGUGUUAUUAUAACUAUUGUUAUGAUUGUUUUAUUCCUACUGUUCUAGCUUAGAGAGUAUACUAACUGCCUUUCAUUGAAUUAGCUGGAUCAUUUUCAUAUCAUUACUUGCUAUUGUAUGGACGUGUGAGAAUGCUCUUUUAAUGAUGUCAUUUACCUUUAAGUAUCUAUCUUUUAACACUUAUUAAUUACUUCGCCUUUCUUUUGCAUGUGGACUCUUUUUCCUUUGCAUGUUUAUUAUGUGCCAUUGAGGCCCAAUAACCCCGAGUUGAUUCCGAUGGAAAAUCUUAAGUCAGUUACAUAGCAUCUGGAUACGAAGAAUCAAAGGAAGAUGAAUGGGUUGAAAUCCCAUAUUAGAAGUGGCUAAGAGACUUAAAAGUCUCAUUUAUUUGCCUAGUUAUUCAGCAUUGCCUUUAUGCAUUCAUUUCUUUGUUUUCUUGUUUCUUUAUUUUAUUCAUUCGGGACAUGGAGCCAAAGUUGUAUUUAAUACUGGUGGAGCAAGUUUGAGCCGAAGGCUAAAAAAUAUAGAUUAGGACAGGUGGAAGACGGGUCGAAAAUCCAAUAUCUAGAUUAGGACAGGGUGACGGAUUUGGGCAUGAAGGCCCAAAUAAUUUAUUUCUUCCUCUCUUUCCCUUCCCUUAUUGUAUUUGCUUUUGUGUUUGAAUCUAGUUAGAUCCUUAGCUAAGUCGCUAAAAAAAUUUUAUUUUGCGAAAACCUUCAAAAUAUUCUUUAAUCAAAUCACUUUUCAACAAAUUGAUUUUUCAAAGUUAGUCAAAAAAGAUUUUCAAAUAGAUCGGAUAACCGUAAUUUAGCGAACAUUUUAGGAAGGAUUUAGUGAACGUUUUAGGUGCCUAACACCUUCCUAAAACGUUAAUAGGAACCCUUUAUCUAGAAUCUCUAACUUAAAAUGAUUUCCCUGUUUUGAAUCAUUUAAAAAUUUUUAUAAAGGUUUCUUAAUUCCUUUUCAAAAUUAAGUGGCUACUCUUUCAAAAAUAAAAAAUUUUCGCAAAACACUUUCUACACUUCUGCUCUUCCAACAUGAUUAUUUUUCUGCUAAUUGUUAACGGCCUCAAGUGUACAGAUUCAUUACCUUUUCAUUCCUUAUGAGGACUUGGAGUCUCCAUAAUUUUUGUUGUAAGAUUAUAAUCUUCAAAAGUUCCACCCUCUUUGUAAUUUUGAUCAUCUACAACAACCUGAGAUAUUUCCGCAAAUCCUUCAAACCCCGACAACAUAUUUCCCAUCAGCAUUGAUGGGUCAACUUGUAAUACCCCAAACUUUCUUUAAAGUCUAAUUUAGUCUCCAAAAGAUUUAGGGAUGACUUCCUAAUUGAUUAAUGUUUAAAUAAAAUAUAAUUUCCAUAAUUUUAAGUUUUUAUCAUGUGGAAAAUUGAAUUAGAUUUUAAACGAUACUAAUUUUGUGAAAAUCCGAUAUCGGGGUAAAAAGUUAUGGACGUCUUACAGAAAGCAGUUUGAACUAUCCAGGUGCAAUGGAGAGGUCUGAUGGACCGUUGAACUAGCGACAGACCGUCACCCAGACCAUUGAAGCUAAGGCAGUGAAUCAACUCUUUAUCUAAGUACGAUGGAGAGGUCUGAUAGACCAUCGAGCUAGAGAUGGACAGUCGCUCGAGUUAUUGCAGACGAGGCAGUGAACUACUAUUCUGGUCCAGGUGCGACGGUCAGUCCGAUGGACCAUCAACCUUAUGAUAGACCAUCGCACCAAUCAUCACAGAUCCCUGUCUGUAAUUCUAAGUCAUUUUUAAAAGGAAUUUUUAGUCCUUUUCCACUUUUUUUGAACACCUAUUUAAAUCAGAUCAAGGCUCAUAACUCCAUAUUCAUCUAUAACAUCAAAAGCUAGUGUUUCUUUCAAGAUCAAAAACCCA
rnacentral:lncRNA from 1 species